CCAGACUCCUACGGGAGGCAGCAGCUAAGAAUAUUCCGCAAUGGACGGAAGUCUGACGGAGCGACGCCGCGUGGAUGAAGAAGGCUGAAAAGUUGUAAAAUCCUUUUGUUGAUGAAGAAUAAGGGGAAGAGGGAAUGCUUCUCUGAUGACGGUAAUCGACGAAUAAGCCCCGGCUAAUUACGUGCCAGCAGCCGCGGUAACACGUAAGGGGCGAGCGUUGUUCGGAAUUAUUGGGCGUAAAGGGCAUGUAGGCGGCUAUGUAAGCCUGAUGUGAAAUCCUGGGGCUUAACCCUAGAAUAGCAUUGGGUACUGUAUAGCUUGAAUUACGGAAGGGAAACUGGAAUUCCAAGUGUAGGGGUGGAAUCUGUAGAUAUUUGGAAGAACACCGGUGGCGAAGGCGGGUUUCUGGCCGAUAAUUGACGCUGAGAUGCGAAAGUGUGGGGAUCGAACAGGAUUAGAUACCCUGGUAGUCCACACCGUAAACGAUGUACACUAGGUGUUGGGGCAAGAGCUUCAGUGCCAAAGCAAACGCGAUAAGUGUACCGCCUGGGGAGUAUGCCCGCAAGGGUGA
rnacentral:rRNA from 1 species